UCACUCAGACUUUCUCCUGUCCCCCAGGGCUGUGUUCCUCUCUCUCUCUGUGGGUCUGAGGAGAACGGCUCCAGGUGAGCGUCCAUGUGUGGCAGGCUGCUCCUCCUCCGCAGCAACCUCCUCCUCUUCGCUUGUCGCUGUGGCCCCUCCCUUCAAAGGCAUAACCUCUCCUAAUCCCCCUCCCCCGGGUUUCCAUGGAGACGGCUCAGACAAGCAGGUGACGCAUUGACAGGGAGCAGAU
rnacentral:lncRNA from 1 species